ensembl:lncRNA
AGCAGUCAGUAGGGGCUCACUGAGCUCCCCGCUCUGCUGAUGAGAGCUCCUGGUGAGAGAGAGCUCUGCCGGGUGUGCUCGAUGUGGGCUUGGGCUCGGAGACUCGGCCUUAUACCCAAAUGGGGACACGGCCUAAAACUCUCGGGGAGGCCUCGGUGGCUGCUGCCCACCUGGCACAGCGUUUUCGUGGAAUGGCUUUAAACUAGGAGAGAGAGAUUUGGGUUGGAUGUUAGGAGGGAUUUUUUUCCCUCAGAAGGCAGCGAGGCUCUGGCACAGAGAAGCUGUGGAUGCCCCAUCCCUGGAGACGUUCGAGGCCAGGUUGGAUGGAGCCCUGGGCAUCCUGACCUGGCAGGUGGCAGCCCUGUCCGCGGCAGGGAGUUGGAAUACUAAGGUCUCUUCCAAACCAGGCCAUUCCCUGACUCUGAUCACCAUCCCUAAGGCAUCAGCCGUUCGGGGAGGACAUCCUCCCGGCGUCGCUCUGGGCGCUCAGGUUAAGGAAAGUGAGGCACGGAGCCGCUUCCCACCACUACUGCACAUCUCCUGCUGCGGGCGGCCCGGUCCCGGUCCC